rnacentral:tRNA from 1 species
GGUCUGUUAGUUCAGUUGGUUAGAAUAUCGCCCUGUCACGGCGGAGGUCAUGGAUUCGAGUUCCAUACAGACCG